GGCUUGGUAGCUCAGUUGGUUAGAGCGAGAGAUUCAUAUCCUCUAGGUCGGCAGUUCGAUUCUGCCCCAAGCCACCA
rnacentral:tRNA from 6 species